rnacentral:lncRNA from 1 species
GUUGCUUUAAGAGGUGCAUAUAUCUAACUGGAGCAAACCUCUGUGAUCCGGGAUGGGGCAUGUCUUGAGGUUCUGCUUUGGUGGUGAUUUUUGCACUUGAGGAAAUGGAUAGCCUGGACCAGUGAUGCUGUGACUUUCCUGCUCAGCAGCUCCAGCACUUUGUGGUGCCAUCACCAUCCAGGCAGGGCCAGACCAAUGCUUUCCUGGUAAUAAAGUUCAGGAAGAUGUGUUCACCCUAUCUGAUUGGCCUGGAGAGCUUUGGUAGCUUUGUGCUCAGACACUGUGUGGGGACCAAAUCCCACUGCAUCAACACGAAAAAGGCUCAGUCCUGCUAGGUGCAAGCACAGAUCUAAGUGGACGGCAACUCAGAGAGGCUAUCAGAUCUGCCUGUCUGCCUAUGAAUCCUAAAAAACACAUUGGCUGCAGCACGCAUACCCCAGUGUGAAGUCAGCCAGGAACAAGCCAGAGAACCUGCCUCUGACCCUGAGGACAUUGCUUGAAAAAUAUUUUCCAGAACUCGGUGCCUGGGGACCUGCAGCUAACAAACAUUCUGGAAGUGUAAUCACAGCCUUUGGCUCUGCUGCCGAACCACCUACGGGAGCAGGUUGUGCUCAAGGAAGGUUGAGAAGAACUCCUGCAGAUAUAAGCGUUGGGAGAUGGGCAGUCCCUCGUCUUGGUGCAGCAGACUAUGAACAUCUGAACUGGCUCCAUGAAGUCCAGCAUCUGUCUUCAACAGGAAAAAGACACAACAGGACCAAAAGCUGUCACUGGCAUUUGAACAAGUUCCUACUUGACUUCAGAAAGAAUAGCAUUUUCCAGUGGAAAACCUCUUGGUUCAAAAUGUUUUGACUGGCUCUACUAGGACUAGAAACAGAGGGCCACUGCAGGAAAAAUAAAUACUGUGCCUGUUCUCCUUAACGCA